rnacentral:misc_RNA from 1 species
UCCGGCUUAUCACCGGCAGUCUCCUUAGAGUGCUCAACUAAAUGGUAGCAACUAAGGACGGGGGUUGCGCUCGUUGCGGGACUUAACCCAACAUCUCACGACACGAGCUGACGACAGCCGUGCACCACCUGUGCACUGGCCCCGAAGGGCUGCCGUAUUUCUACGACAUUCCAGUGCAUGUCAAACCCAGGUAAGGUUCUUCGCGUUGCGUCGAAUUAAACCACAUGCUCCGCUGCUUGUGCGGGCCCCCGUCAAUUCCUUUGAGUUUUAGCCUUGCGGCCGUACUCCCCAGGCGGGGCACUUAAUGCGUUAGCGUCGGCACGGGAGGAGUCGACACCUCCCACACCUAGUGCCCAUCGUUUACGGCGUGGACUAC